CACCCUAACUUCUGCCCUCACC
rnacentral:miRNA from 1 species